rnacentral:rRNA from 1 species
AGAGUUUGAUCCUGGCUCAGGACGAACGCUGGCGGCGUGCCUAAUACAUGCAAGUAGAACGCUGAAGACUUUAGCUUGCUAGAGUUGGAAGAGUUGCGAACGGGUGAGUAACGCGUAGGUAACCUGCCUACUAGCGGGGGAUAACUAUUGGAAACGAUAGCUAAUACCGCAUAACAGUGUUUAACACAUGUUAGAUGCUUGAAAGAUGCAAUUGCAUCACUAGUAGAUGGACCUGCGUUGUAUUAGCUAGUUGGUGGGGUAACGGCCUACCAAGGCGACGAUACAUAGCCGACCUGAGAGGGUGAUCGGCCACACUGGGACUGAGACACGGCCCAGACUCCUACGGGAGGCAGCAGUAGGGAAUCUUCGGCAAUGGGGGCAACUGACCGAGCAACGCCGCGUGAGUAAGAAGGUUUUCGGAUCGUAAAGCUCUGUUGUAAGAGAAGAACGUGUGUAGAGUGGAAAGUUCACACAGUGAACGGUAACUUACCAGAAAGGGACGGCUAACUACGUGCCAGCAGCCGCGGUAAU